rnacentral:sRNA from 1 species
AUGGCUGUCGUCAGCUCGUGCCGUGAGGUGUUGCCUUAAGUGGCGCAACGAGCGCAACCCCUGUCCUUAGUUGCCAGCGGAUCAUGCCGGGAACUCUAGGGAGACUGCCGGUGCCAAACCGGAGGAAGGUGGGGAUGACGUCAAGUCAGCAUGCCCCUUAUAUCCAGGGCUGCACGCAUGCUACAAUGCGCGAUACAAAGGGCUGCGAUCCCGUAAGGGGGAGCGAAUCCCAAAAAGUCGCGCUCAGUUCGGAUCGAGGUCUGCAACUCGACCUCGUGAAGUCGGAGUCGCUAGUAAUCGCAGAUCAGCAAUGCUGCGGUGAAUACGUUCCCGGGCCUUGUACACACCGCCCGUCACACCACGAAAGUGGGCAACACCCGAAGCCGGUGGCCUAACCCUUGUGGAGGGAGCCGUCGAAGGUGGGGCUCGCGAUUGGGGUGAAGUCGUAACAAGGUAGCCGUACCGGAAGGUGCGGCUGGAUCACCUCCUUUCUGGAGCGAUGAGUAGAGCGCGUCCUCGGCUGGCAACAGCUCAGGCGAUCCCCUCGAAAAUCCUCAAGAAUUGUCGCUCGACUCGUACAACUCCUCUCUUCGAUCUCGAUUGCUCAACGGCACGGCGCAUAGGCCCAUCAGGGACAACUCUGAUGGGCCUGUGUCGCCACCCAUGCUGUUUGACAACGGAAGUUGGUGUAGAUCGUGGGAAGCGAAUCAUCACAUUGACGACAAUUUCGUUUUUGUUUUUUUGUUGUUAGUUCUGAUAGAAACGCGCGUGCUCUGCUUGCUACGAACUAUGUAGUCAAGCGAGCGAAGGCAUGUGGAGGAUGCCUGGGCACACGGAGGCGAGGAAGGCCGCGGUAAGCUGCGAUAAGCCAGGGGGAGCGGCACACACGCACUGAUCCCUGGAUGGCCGAAUGGGGAAACCCGG